rnacentral:rRNA from 1 species
UACGUAGGGUGCAAGCGUUGUCCGGAAUUAUUGGGCGUAAAGAGCUCGUAGGCGGUCUGUCGCGUCGGCUGUGAAAACCCGGGGCUCAACCCCGGGCCUGCAGUCGAUACGGGCAGACUAGAGUGCGGUAGGGGAGACUGGAAUUCCUGGUGUAGCGGUGAAAUGCGCAGAUAUCAGGAGGAACACCGGUGGCGAAGGCGGGUCUCUGGGCCGCAACUGACGCUGAGGAGCGAAAGCGUGGGGAGCGAACAGG